UGAGGAAUAUUGGUCAAUGGGCGGAAGCCUGAACCAGCCAAGUCGCGUGAGGGAAGACGGUCCUAUGGAUUGUAAACCUCUUUUGCAGGGGAGCAAGACGCUGUACGUGUACCGUGCUGGAGAGUAUCCUGAGAAAAAGCAUCGGCUAACUCCGUGCCAGCAGCCGCGGUAAUACGGAGGAUGCGAGCGUUAUCCGGAUUUAUUGGGUUUAAAGGGUGCGUAGGCGGACUGGUAAGUCAGCGGUAAAAGCCCGGGGCUCAACCCCGGCGAGCCGUUGAAACUGCAGUGCUAGAGAAGGCGAGAGGUACGCGGAAUGCGUGGUGUAGCGGUGAAAUGCAUAGAUAUCACGCAGAACUCCGAUUGCGAAGGCAGCGUACCGGCGCCCAACUGACGCUGAAGCACGAAGGCGUGGGUAUCGAACAGGAUUAGAUACC
rnacentral:rRNA from 1 species